GAAAAAGAUAGCCGGAGCUAGCCCACCUCCCCCCCGAUGUGAAGAAACAAUCUAGCCCAUUCCCCAGUCGCUAUGAGCAGUUUUCACACGAUGACGUUCCCCUCCCCCCGUCCCUUCUAUUUCGCAAUUGCGGCGGCGGCGGCGGCGGCAGGGAUGGCACCGGAGGAAUGACCCGACUGCUAUGGCUACUUCUCUCGAGCGUGGUGUACUUCCCUUUCCCUCUCCCACGCGGUGGCGAACCGGAGGCGACGUGGGCGGUGCAACGAUCGGGGCGAGCUCGGCGGCGCCAGCGGCCUUCUACGGCAUCCGUCUCCACCCUCGGCGGUCUUAUCGCUUGGGAAGGGGAAGAAACUAGGGAAGGAAAGGAAAAAAAAGAGGAGUUUAGGGAGUGAUGGAAGUGAUGCUGGAGACAGGCACCUGAUAGUGAGAUGAUGGAGGUGGAGAAGAAGGCCCAGCCGAUGACAUAGAAGAAGAGGAGAGCUCAAUGCUGCGGAGCAAAAGGAACAACAGUAUAGUAUCAGACUGAUUCAGCUGAGAUAUUUUAGUUUUUUUGCAAGACAUGUGAAUCCUCUCUGCGUUUUUGCUUUUGUUUAGAAUUCACGAAUUUUCUUCCUUGUAGCUAUAUGAUGGUUCCAACUUAAUUGGAUGUUAGUAAUGACGUACAUAAACAAUCAAUCUAUACGGCUGUACCUAGCUGACAAUGCUAUGUCUCUGUUUGGACCUGGCUGACAAUGCUAACUCUCUGUAUAUUUGUAUUAUCGAAAUUUGCGCAAACCUACAAGAAAAAAAUUCCUCAAUUAAAGAUGAUUCAUUUUACGAGGAAUUUGUUUUAUAUUUAGUGAAUUUAUUAGGCAAACAAGGAAUUGGAAUUCUGCCAAGAAAUCUAGGAGCAGAAGAAGAUGCAAGACUUGCGGACUAGCCAAAUGCUGUGCAGGCGAGAAAAUGGUAUCGCACAGCCCAUAAAGAACCGCUGGUAAUAUGAUUAAGUUUGGAGCAAUUCGUUAUUACUACCAGUUUCAAAUUAGAUUUAUUUCAAUUGCAAUGAGGUACAAGACUGGCCCUCUUCCUUGCUGUCUUAUCUUUGGUGUUUAUUUGGUUGAACUAGCAUAAACCUAACUUUUAAUAUUGAUGUGUUUCCGCCCAAUUUGUGUAUUAAGCCAUGCUAGUCAUCAAUUAAUCAAUCUCAAUGUUCCCUUAAUAGAUGAUUGCUAUUGAUUUGUUGUGGCUUAGCUAUCGAGGACAAAACAUUUUCCUUUCCCUUUCCCCCCUAAUAGUUGUUUAUUUGCUCCUUCUAGGAGGCCUGCAUUUUGCUAAUUGUCUAUUUGCUAGAGAAGUAGUGGCAAUGAACAUUUUUAUUCUGAUGCCUUAUCUGAAUAGCUUCAGAAAUUCUUAACAUGAAAAUACAUAAUAUACUUAUCUGUGUGUGGUUAAUGCUUCGUUGUUUAAAUUUUCUCUUUGUUAAAUGUUGGUAAGCAGAGUAUAUAUUCUUGAUUGAUUAUCCUGAAUCUGAAUUUGGGGAACAUGAUCUAACUAGCUUCUAAAUCAGCUGAGUUGUACUGAAUGAUGGUGUGUUUGCUGCUCACACAUUUUAUUCCAAGGGCCAUUAUGACAAAUAAUGGCCACUUAUAGGUUGCUGGUAAUGCAUUUUCACACCAUACAUAUGCUUGUGCUUACCCCCGUUGGGUAGUCAAUAUGAUACUGGUGCACUAAUCAGUGGAUUUCGGUUUGUUUUAUACAUGAAAAUAAGGUAAGAGUGUUAUGUCAGCUUCAAGUCCCUCGAAACCACAUACUUUUGUUCGUGUUGUUCUAGGUUACCUUCUUUCAUGGUGGCAUAAAUCUGUCUUAUAGAAAAUAGACGUGGAUGCUUUCCUUGCCAGUUCCAUGUAAUUUUUGUCUGGUUCUGCUGUAAUUUCAGAUGUAUGUGAGUUUUUGAGGUGCACAGUUCACUAGCAUUACAUAGGUUAGCAUAUCUUUGCUCCCACAUUUGCAUGACACAUGAUUUAUACUUGGAUUGUAUAUGAAUUACUGUUUGUGUAUGCAUAUGCUACUGUUUUCACCUCUAAUAUUUUAACUUCCUACUUCAGUGGAUGUGGUAAAGUGCAACAAUACUCAAUUAGGCCGUACUGAUUUUUAUGGUCGUCUUUUUAGCAUCUGGCAAAGCAGUAAGAUUAAAGAUGUAAUGGCCGUAACUAUACUUCUCGUCGAAAAGCGAUCUAUGGGAAAAAAAUACCUGUCCUCAACUCCUCAAGAAUCUGGAGGAUGUUGUGAGAGAUCUGACCUGGGAUUGUUACUCUCAUACAACCCUAUUCACAUCCAUGUUGUACUUACAUUUGCGAGCUACUCACUGGCUCUGCAAUUUGAAUGAAACAGUUCUCAUUUUCAGUCAUUUUUUCUGGGUAUUCCACACGGGAAGAAAAGCACAUUAGGCAUGCAUACAAUUGUCAAUUUUUACAGGCUGAAAUUUUUGAAUAAUUGUCAAUUAGUUUUCAGCCGAUUGCUUGUCAAUCUUCGCAGAUUUCCAGUUUAACCCGCCCUCAAUCCAGGAGUAAUCUUGUAUAACAUUCAGUUACAAGACACAAACUAGUUAAAUAUGAUGACUCCCACCAUUGUAUCUGGCACACUGAUAAAAUACAUGGUUUAGUGUGCAUUGAAACAAUUGUUACAGAGUUUGCCUAUUUAUCUUGUUUCUCACUAUACUUUUGAUUCAUAGCGUGUUAUGGGUUCAUGUCAUUCCGAACAGUUUGGUACAUCUAAUAUCCCUCUGAGAUAUCUAUGCUUUCAACAUUGUGUCCAGUUUAGGGUAGUGAAGCAUAUUAAUCCUAAAGUGUUAUAUGCGCUUGUGUGUUGGGGGCCUCUAUCUGUUUGUUAGUAUACUUCUGAGAACUGAUAAUAUUCUGCUUUUCAGGUAUCUGUUCAAGUGGAUGACAGUAAAUGUAUGAGGGUAGAGAGUAAUGUCUUCUUAUUUAUGGUCGGUACGAGUAACAUUAAAUUGAAAUUUCAGACCUUUUACUAAUCCCUCCAUCCCAUAGUAUAAGACGUUUUUGCAAACUAAACAUAGCUUGCAAAAACAUCUUAUAUUGUGGGACGGAGGGAGUAGUAACCAGUAGCAAAAUUCAGGUUUUGGGGAGAAGAAAAGUGAACCUAAGGGCUCCAAUACUAUUAAUAGCACAAUACCAUGUUGCAUUCAGUGUUUCAGUCCUGGAGACAUUGCUGAACAGAUGAAGUUGGUGGAAAAUCUAUGGUCACCUAAAAAUUAAGCUGCUUGAAUAUCAAGUUCAGAAGUACUGUAGUCAGUUUUCAAGUUCGGUAGUAUUCAGUUUUUGUAAUAGUGAUUUCUGAAUAUUUCGAGAAAUGUGAUAAAAAGUCUUGCUAGUUCAUUUAACAUGAUUCUUAUUAAGAACUGUACUAGCAAGACUUUUUAUCACAUUUCUCGAAUGUAUCUUAGUUCACUAGAGUACUAGACAUACGAGUUGGCAACCAGCUGAUGGCACGACAAGUCUGGAGAUGCCAAAUUACCAUCUAACACUUGUGAUAUUUCGGAAUGUGAUGACUCUGGGUUUAGUGAAGUGGUUGAAGAAAACAAGCCUGCCGAACAACAUGAAGGUUUUGCUCGAGGAGAUAGAAGAUCAUUGGAUAAAACUAAAAAAGGCUUGUUAGAUCUAUCUGCUGGUCAGAAUACCUCAGGGUCUGUGUCAGAAAUACAAUUAUCAAAUUUGGGGGAUACAAUAGGAAUAGAUCAACAUUUUGAAGUUUCCACUCAGAGAAAUGAAAAUAGUACUGUGGAUGGUCACCUUGAAGGAAGAAAGAUGAAUAAUAUAUGUACAGAAAUGAAUGACAGUCCUGGAAAAGGCAAUGAAAUAAACCUAAAACAACCUGCAGUGCUUGUACUUUCUGCCAUGGCUGAGACAGGCCUGGUUAGUCUGCCUUCACUGUUCACAGCUGUGUUGCUGCAGGCAAACAACGGAUUGUCAUCUGACCAGGCUUCAGCGAUUCUUCCAUCAAAUUUUGAAGAAGUAGCCACUGGUGUAUUGAAAGUUUUGAACAAUGUGGCAUGUUUGGAUAUCACUCUUCUGCAGUGUAUGCUGGUAACAGUUGUAUCCAAGCUGGGUAUUAUUGUUAUUGGCUUUUUGUUUGUUGAUUUUCAUGCAUCGUUUGACGCUGAAUAGAUGAAUUUCUGAACUGCAAAAUGUAACCUAGGAAGACACAAAAGAAUCUUAAACUAUUUAUAAUGCCAGCAGACAACUAUUCAUUCUUAAAGAUCUCAUGCAAAAUUUGCUGUUGGCAAACCGGCAACAUUCUAAUAUGGGAGUCCUGAAGAUCUUAACAAUCUGUUUUUCCACCUAUGGUCGUUUGUAUGCUUACUGGUUAUGAACUCUUUUCAGGCUAGAUCAGAUCUGAAGAUGGAAUUCUUUCAUUUGCUCAGUUCUCUUCUGAAUCAUUGCAUGCAUAAAUGGAGAGUACCAAAUGAUCAGGUAAUGUGUAUGCUAUUGUAAAUGGCUUGGUUGAUAGGCCUGAUGGCCUGGAAAAUGGAUUCAAACUUCCAUCAGGUGCUUUUGGACUGCUGCCAAAGGAUGUCGAGAGCAUUGUUACCGCGAAAUGCAAAGAUAAACUGUUGGAUCUCUACAACAAGAGAAGCAUCUCAGAACUGGUUGAGGUGGUCUGUGUAACUGUCGGUGCUAGGGAGCAGCUUCCACCUUCAACUGUUGGCAGGUCCAGCAUAUAUAUCAUUAUCAGACGUGACAACAAGCUCUAUGUUGGACAGGGAGAAGUGUAGUAUUGAAGUUGUUCGUAAAUCACAAGUACGGUAUUGAAAACUUGAAAUGCAUCACUGGGGAUCAAUUGGAUGGUCGAAUGUUACGAUGCUACAAAGGUGAGACGUAACUGAACUUCUGUAGAUCGGCGCAACAAAAUGAAAUGACAACACACAAAUACCACGGUGCCUCUGCGCUGCCAAAACAGACAGUUCUUCUCAACAGUACCACAGCAUCAGAAUGUUUCUAUUAAAGCAGGAAUAGCAUGCUUUUGUAUCUCAUCAACUGUACUCUACACCGAAACAAAAAAGGAAAAUACAACGUACAGAUGAUGAAUCUACACACAGCGUAUGACAAGGGAGGUAGAAUCUCCACUUGUCACUCCAUGGUAUCAUUUUAUUCCCAAUAUUUCGAAUAUAAGAAAUGCAACUCUAAGAAAAUGUAGCUCAGGAGGGAUAGAUGGAAGAGAGAGGGGUGGAAAGGAACAUGGCCAGGGAAAGGAGGUGGAAUAAGAAGAUGAAGAACACGAGGGGAAAUGUCAUUGUUGGGUCUUACAAGGUCAAGAAAAGGUCUUGCAAGGUCAAGAAGACCCUAACAACGUGGCUUUAGCAGAUUCAAUCGGUGCUGCAGUUUCAACAAGAACUCUAUUAUCUAGGGCCUGACGUUCGGCAAUCUCUGCUGCCUUAAAAAUGUUUCUUUCAGCUGAGUUAUGGCGACUAAUUUGCUGUUCCUUCCCUUCAAGCUGGUUAUGACAAUUUUCCUCUACUUUGUUUGCACACAAUUCCUUAAAUGUAAGGGAACCAAUAUCUUCACUGACAUUUCUGUUGUGACCAUGGAUACUGAUUCCAUUUCCCUUAGAUUAGUUGUGGCAAAUCUCCUCCCCAUUCACACGUAUGUUAUUAAUUGUAAGCGAACUUAAAUCUUCACUUAAAUGUCUGUUAUGACCAUCUGGGCAGUAAAACCAACGGAAAGAAGAGGCUUUGAGUCAGUCAAGUUUUCCAGUGAGUCGACAGUGUUUGGAACAACAGCUACUUGAUGCACCCCUUUAACAUUCAGUUCCUCCUCUUGCUGCAGAAAGAUGUGUUAUCCCAGUUGAAAAAUCCGAGGCUCUUUACCUUGAUGUCUUCCAUAUGUUUUGAAUCUAGAUUAGUAGCAUGUACUUUGUUCUGAAAUUCUAUCUGAAUUGGCAAUGGUGGCACGUCCAGUAUUUGGAGAUUCCGAUGGCUCCAGUAUCCUGUUUACAGGAUGAACCUACCUGGAGGCACUGUAUCCACAUGACAUUCACG